GGAGCUAGCACUCUGGUGAGAUCAAAAGGCUUCUGACCAGAUCAGAGUCUCGUGUGGAUACCCAUAGAGGUCGGAUGCUUGUGCGGCUACAAGGAACCUUCGAAGGACAUCCUUGAUCAUCUAUUCGCAUUAAAGAUUGACUAUAUUCAGGUAUGUUUUAUAUUUAUUUUUUUCUAUUUGAUUUCUGUAUCUGAAUUUUAUCUCACAUAUGAUGAUUCUGAUUAUGGUUUGAAGAUAUGAUCUUA
rnacentral:lncRNA from 1 species